UGGGGAAUAUUGCACAAUGGGCGAAAGCCUGAUGCAGCAACGCCGCGUGAACGAUGAAGGCCUUCGGGUCGUAAAGCUCUGUCCUCAAGGAAGAUAAUGACGGUACUUGAGGAGGAAGCCCCGGCUAACUACGUGCCAGCAGCCGCGGUAAUACGUAGGGGGCUAGCGUUAUCCGGAAUUACUGGGCGUAAAGGGUGCGUAGGUGGUUUCUUAAGUCAGAGGUGAAAGGCUACGGCUCAACCGUAGUAAGCCUUUGAAACUGGGAAACUUGAGUGCAGGAGAGGAGAGUGGAAUUCCUAGUGUAGCGGUGAAAUGCGUAGAUAUUAGGAGGAACACCAGUUGCGAAGGCGGCUCUCUGGACUGUAACUGACACUGAGGCACGAAAGCGUGGGGAGCAAACA
rnacentral:rRNA from 1 species